CACGUAGGGCGCGAGCGUUGUCCGGAAUUAUUGGGGCGUAAAGAGCUCGUAGGCGGCCUGUUGCGUCCGCUGUGAAAGCCCGGGGGCUUAACCCCGGGUCGGCAGUGGAUACGGGCAGGCUAGAGGUAGGUAGGGGAGAAUGGAAUUCCCGGUGUAGCGGUGAAAUGCGCAGAUAUCGGGAGGAACACCGGUGGCGAAGGCGGUUCUCUGGGCCUUCCUGACGCUGAGGAGCGAAAGCGUGGGGAGCGAACAGG
rnacentral:rRNA from 1 species